AUGCGGCAGUGCCGGGCCGCGGGGCUGGCGGGGCUGGCCGCGGUGCUCCUGGUGGCUGUGAGCAGAGCCCAGGUGCAGCAGGAGCCGUCGUCAGGGACCAGCGAAGGCACCGGUAUCAACAUCACCUGCUCACACCCUAACAUCCAGUCUUAUGAUUACAUCUACUGGUACCGUCAGCUCCCGGGCAGGAGCCCCGCAUUCAUCGAGUUCAUCCACCAAGGCUCCAAGGAGCUGCAUGAGUUGGCUGGGCGGCUAUCGAUGUCCGCAGACCGCCGCUCCAGCGCCCUGUGGCUCGCCCGGCCCCGGUUCGGGGACGCGGCGGUGUAUUACUGUGCCGUGAACCCACGGGGCGUGGACUCGGGGCUGCGGCAGAGCAAGAACCGCUUCGGGCGGGGCGGGCGGGGCGGGCGGCGGCGCAGUGCCGUCCAGGCCCGCAGGGGGCGCUGCCGCUCCUUCCGCCGGGCCGCCUCUCCUCUCCCGGCCCCACCGAGCUGA